CUGAAUACUCAUGUUCCUCGCUAGAGCACUGCAUACUAUUUCUCUGAAUACUCCUCUGAAUAAUUUUUGCGAGGCUCUGCGUAUUUAGAAUAGGUAUCAUAGUGAAGGGCUAGAAUUUUUAUAAUAAUCCCGGUUAUCAGGUGCCAAGGCCCUACAUCAAUAUCAGGUGCAAGUGGACACAUGCGCUGUGGUGGACACGUACAUACCUUAGACUCUCUAGGGUCUAUUCUACCAGAUCAGUCGGGUAAACUAUGGUAGACGGUGGUUGUGAUCAUUGCUUAGUUUAUUUUGGCAAUCAGUGAGAACUUCUCAGUUUCUUUGCCCAGCCAGAAUUCCUGUGGUGGCUGCCAGCAGAAAUGUCCAUCGAACAGACGGCCUGCGAAGACCUGAAGGCGUUUGAGCGUCGUCUGACCGAGGUCAUCACAUGCCUGCAGCCAUCCGCCCUGCGCUGGCGAGUUGUCCUGGUGACCGUUUCAGCGUGCACGGCCAUCGGUGCAUACCAGUGGCUCACGGAUCCAAGCACAUCGGAGGUGGCUUUCGUCCAGUCACUCUUCAACCACCUGUUCUUUGCCAUAUCGACACUGACGCUAGCAAUUCUGUUCUUAAUGGGUAUCCACAAGCGAGUGGUAGCUCCAAGCAUCAUCUGCUGCCGAACCCGCCAGGUGCUGGCUGACUUCAACAUGUGGUGUGAUGACACCGGCAAACUGGUGCUGAAGCCGCGUCCCACCGCUUCCUCGUGACGGCGCCUCUCUGUCUGACACUAGCGCCGCUGCGGCCGACGAGUCGGCUGCAAACUCCGUCGCCGCCCAGCAAAUGGCACUGGUCACAGCUAGGGACGACGUGAUGCAACCCCAAGCCGGACGGGUGGCGACGGUGAAUGUGUUUUAUCUGGUCAAUGUUUUACGUGUCGCCCGGCUGAUCCCGAUCCGACGAGAGAGGCGUGGGAAGUUAUCGGUCCCAUCAUUCCGUCAGCGGUCUGUUACAUAUAUACCGGUGUUCCCAGAGCGUUGACCUUUCAGGCUGGUGCUAAUAGAGGCUAACGGGACCGAUGGACUGACUCGUGAGCGUUGGGUUACUGAUGGACCGACCGAUGUGAGCAUCGAGAUGGUGUGCUGUAGACCUGCUUUUUGGUUGGUAUUCAAACCAGCUGCAAUGUGCAUACUGCAUUAUACAAUAUAUGUAUCAACGAGC